UAGUACCGUGAGGGAAUGGUGAAAAGAACCCUUAUAAAGGGAGUGAAAUAGAAUCUGAAACCGCUAGCAUACAAGCAGUAGGAGCAUGAUUUAGUCAUGUGACUGCGUACCUUUUGUAUAAUUGGUCAGCGAGUUAUUUUUAGUGGCGAGGAUAACUGAAUAAGGGAUCCGUAGCGAAAGCGAGUUUUAAUAGGUCGACUAGUCGCUAGGAGUAUACCCGAAACCGGCGCGAUCUAUCCAUGGCCAGGGUGAAGAUUAGGUAGUACUA
rnacentral:rRNA from 1 species